CUUAAGAAGUUUAUUUUUUAUUAUGAAGCAUCAGAAUACAGAUGCUCCUGUGUCUACUGUAAAGUUGCUUUAGAGACAAUAAAGUUCUUCCUAGAUGUUAUGGAAAGCCAAACAUGUAUGAUGGAAAAUAAAACACAUGCAGAUGUUAAGAAGCAUAUCACAAACAUUACAGAAAUCCUAGAAAACAAAGGGCCCAGUGAUACCUACAACUUUUGUUGUACCCUGAAGGAAAUUGAUUAUUCUUUAGACCUAACUGAAAAUGGAAAACACAUUUUGAAACUGGUGGAGACCUUACAGUUAGAAUUUACAGGUAAGUUUGAUUCACAAUGUAUAUAUUUUUAAACUCUCCUAUAGACCAGUUCCUUCCAUUUUAUUUGA